GCCGGGUUCGCCCGGCUAUGAGGCUAAACGCCGUUCGAAAUAAGCGACGUGGACCCGGGGGCAGUGCCCGGCAGCUCCACCA
rnacentral:tmRNA from 1 species